rnacentral:rRNA from 1 species
ACAGGUGGUGCAUGGUUGUCGUCAGCUCGUGUCGUGAGAUGUUGGGUUAAGCCCGCUAACGAGCGCAACCCUCGCUGUGUGUUACAAGUGUCACACAGGACCGCCGGGUCUUAAGCCGGAGGAAGGUGGGGAUGACGUCAAGUCAGCAUGGCCUUUAUGUCCAGGGCUACACACACGCUACAAUGGUCAGCACAAUAGGUAGCCAAGCCGCGAGGUGGAGCCAAUCCUCAAAGCUGGCCUCAGUUCAGAUCGCAGGCUGCAACCCGCCUGCAUGAAGUUGGAGUUGCUAGUAAACGCAGGUCAGCUAUACUGCGUUGAAUACGUUCCCGGGGAUU